rnacentral:rRNA from 1 species
GACGUAGGGGACGAGCGUUGUCCGGAUUCAUUGGGCGUAAAGGGUGCGUAGGCGGCGCGGUAAGUCGGGUGUGAAAUCUCGGAGCUUAACUCCGAAACUGCAUUCGAUACUGCCGUGCUUGAGGACUGGAGAGGAGACUGGAAUUUACGGUGUAGCGGUGAAAUGCGUAGAUAUCGUAAGGAAGACCAGUGGCGAAGGCGGGUCUCUGGACAGUUCCUGACGCUGAGGCACGAAGGUCAGGGGAGCAAACGGG